rnacentral:rRNA from 1 species
AGCGAACGCUGGCGGCAGGCUUAACACAUGCAAGUCGAGCGGGCAUCCUUGUGGUGUCAGCGGCAGACGGGUGAGUAACGCGUGGGAACGUGCCCUUCGGUUCGGAAUAACUCAGGGAAACUUGAGCUAAUACCGGAUACGUGCGAGAGCAGUAAGGUUUAUCUGCCGAAGGAUCGGCCCGCGUCUGAUUAGCUAGUUGGUGAGGUUACGGCUCACCAAGGCGACGAUCAGUAGCUGGUCUGAGAGGAUGAUCAGCCACACUGGGACUGAGACACGGCCCAGACUCCUACGGGAGGCAGCAGUGGGGAAUAUUGGACAAUGGGGGCAACCCUGAUCCAGCCAUGCCGCGUGAGUGAUGACGGCCUUAGGGUUGUAAAGCUCUUUUCUCCGGGACGAUAAUGACGGUACCGGAGGAAUAAGCCCCGGCUAACUUCGUG